CAGCCAGCCUCCAGAACUAGCCUUGAGUCAUGGGUAUAUCAGAACACCUGUGGAUCAGAAUGAAAUGACAUGUGCUGUUGUAACUGGUUUUAUGCAUUCUGGAUUCGUGUCCCUUCGCACCUGCUUACCCCCAGCGUUUACUCCACGUGUAAUCACUUGCUCAAUGACUCAGCCCUAAACAGCGGAAGAGAAUGGCUUUGUCCAUCUCAGUCCAGGGUCUGCUCAGCCCCUAGAACCGUGGGAGGCACAUGCUUGGGCUGUGCCCUAUGUGUAAGGUGGAGAAAUCGCGGGCAAACCAAUGCCUAGAGUCCUGGAUCACGUACAUGCUGAUGACGCCAGGGACACUUUCAAUAACAUUGGGUUUCAGGGAUAAUCUGGAAUUAGAAUUUUUGUUUUACAUCAUAAGAUUAAUCACUUAUUGUGUCAAAUUUUCCAUCAGAUUCCCCUCCUGGGGCUGAGGACUCCAGACACUCAGCAGGUAACAACUUUUCCUUUUUUCUGGAAAGAUGGAACUGCAAAUGGUUAUAACAUGACCUCACUCUCCUUUCCUCAGAACGUAGACCACACAGAGCAAUGAGAAAAUAAGACACUGUAGAUGAGUCUCGUCCUCAAAGUCUGUUCAAUUGGAGAGUGCGCUGACUUGCUUUCUGUGUUCUUUUAUGAAGGAAGAGAGGAGAUUUACCUCUUUGCCUCGCGUGAGGUUAAACAUUGCAGCUGAGGGCCACCUUUGCAUCUGCCCCAAAUGCGAUAGCACAGUGUGGCUGGGUGAUGCCCCACGAGAGGAAAAUGAUAGAAAACAUUCUGUCUUUGAAGCACUCCAGCCAUUUGUUCCCACUGAGCUUGGCUCUGGCUUGUGGAUAGAUUCCACGGUACUCACAUCCCUGUACUCAAACUGGUGACAAGCUCCAGGUCCCCAAUUGCUUGGAAGCAGAGGCUCACCCAGCAGUGGCCGGGAACAGGAGGGCCGAGGGGGUCAAGGGGCGGCUGCUGUCCCCAUCCUGGAUGGAGAUGAAGGGGAGAGCAAGACCUCCAGGCCACUGCCUCCAGGGGGCCUGGGACUCGUGUCCGCUCCACUUUGAAGAGUCAGAAGAAGGCCUAGGCAGGCAGGGGCGCUGUGUGGAAUUCCGGCUGCUUCAAAGGCAUCGUGAAAUAUUAAUCUUUAUCACUUGACUUUCUGGAAAAGACGUGGCAAGUGGGUAGGACCGGCCCUGUGCCGAGGAGAGCAGUGACUCAGGGGAGGUUUCUCUUGGCACAUCCUGUUCCUCACUCAUCAGAGGCUUCUCCACACAGCCUCCUGCUCCAGAGGGACGCAAGCUCUCCCUGCACAGGAGGGAGGGUGGCUGAGGCCAGGGUCAGGGCCAGGGGUCUUUCCUGUCAUUAUACUACCAGUUGAGCAUCCCAAAUCAGAAAGUCCAAAAUCUGAAAUACUCCAAUGAGCAUUGCCUUUGAGAGUCAUGUUGGUGCUCAGGUUUUAGAUUUUGGAGCAUUUUGAAUGUGAAAUUUUCUGAUUAGGGAUACUCACCCUGUACUAGAUCUGAUCAAAGAGAUAUACGUGGAAAUACAAUAUCAACUUCUAGAAUGCAUUCUUAAAGAAAGCGGUCUGCCCCUCUCCCCUCUGUUCUCCCUCCUGCAGGGUGGAAUGCCGGCAUGUUCUUGGAGUACGAGGCAUACUUGGGAACUGAGUCAACACAUGGCGUAUCACUGAGACAGAGCAGCCCCAGAACACAUACCGGGGAGUACAGGAGCCUAGGCCACGUACCCAACAUUGUAGGCAGAGAAAAAAGAAAGUGUAUUCCAUGUGGUGCAUUCCAGGCCUUAGAAUAAAAUUAAAAGGGAAAUCAAUGAAGACACAUCCACUGUUAACACUCUCAUCUUCAAUGUUUGACCAGUGGCUGAACUGUUUGGAGUUGCAGAUCGAUAUUUCUCUUUUAUAGUUUUAGGUGCUUGUAAUUGCUCUUUAAUGCUCAUGUUUACUCUUAUUCUGUGUGUCUUUAACUCAUAAAGACAGUUUUCCAUGAGA